UUUUUUCCUCUAAUCUAAAAACCCGGUCUCCUCACUCACUCUUCCCCGAUCCCUCUCCUUCUCUCUCUCUCUCCUGCUCCCUCAACUACGACGGUGAGGGGAUAUACGAGGCUUCAACCACGGUGGAGGUCGACGGGGCUGACAGAGGCUCAGCGGGACUGCCGGAGGCUCGACGACGUGGACUCGGAGACUCGUUGGUGCAGAUGCAUUCUAGUGGAUGAGAACGACCGGGUUGUUGGUCAUGAUACAAAAUAUAAUUGUCACUUGAUGGAAAAGAUUGAAAAGGAAAAUUUGCUGCAAAUGGCUUUCAGUGUGUUUUUGUUCAACUCAAAAUACGAGUUGCUUCUUCAGGUAUUGCUUACAAUAUUUGAGGGACAUCAAACUAUAUGAUUUGCCAAUUAGAUACCCAAACCUUAGAUCUUGUGGGAGCAAACAACAGACCUGACUGUUUGAACUGCCCUCCUAGGUGCUUACAUUU